GCUGGAGGCUGGGCUGAGCAGUGCGCGCGUGGUCCUGACCGGCAGACUCAGCACAGCGGGGGAAGCACGCACUGCACAAACGAACACGCUGAUGGCCGUUUAGCGCCCGCUCUACGAGAAUUAGCGGUAAUGAGAUGAUGAUGAUGAUGAUGAUAAAACCCUGAGUGGUGAGGAAAGAAGUGGACACCUGCCCAGCCAGCCAGAUGAGAUGGGUGCACCAUCUCAGCCAGAUGAGAGCACCCCUAGUGCUCAGUGGGGUGGCAGAUGUCACAGACAGAUCAUCCCCACAUCAUUCAGGGAUUAUGAGAUGUCCAAGAGUCACUGUUCUUCAUGACUCAUGGAAGUCUCUAGAACACUGCUGGUGCCUUCCUUCCUGUAAGAAACUGGCCAAGCCUAUGGGCUGUCCAGCUAGUAGUUGCUGGCGUCCUGGGAACGUUGAGGCACCUGGCCUCAGAGCUAGUCACUGGCCCACGACUGCCGGAGGAAAAUGCCGCAGGGACAUCCAGGAAGCUAGAGCAACUGCAGCCCUGCCAGCCACUGCUUCCUGCCAGCGAGGCUCACCAGCAGAUGGACGACACAUGUGAGCUUCGAUGGCUGUCCCCUCCUCUGCCCACCUGCUUCUGAGGACCUCCUGCACCUUACCUCAGCCGGCACAACUCUCUUACUUCUACUGUGGCCUGAGGGCCUGUGUUUUGACCCAUGCCAAGACAAGUGGUCGCAAUCUGUAGGUUAAAGUCCAGAGCUCCCGGCCACCCCAGUGCAGCUUUCUUCAGUGAGGUUUUCAACCACGUGGCUAGUGAGAUAGAUUGGGCCUAUACAAGAGCCACCGAGCCCUUUGUAGUGGGUUUCUGGAAGCCAGGGUUCCCGGCCCAGAGUUACUUUGAACAUGCUAUGUGGUUGAGGACAACAUUAGAUUUCAUGCGUGAAGCACUCUGCGGUACCAGGUGAGGAUGGAACUUAGGGCGUGUUACACAAAUACUCUACCAAAUGAGCUAUAUCGCAGGACCCUGAGCUGCAGCUGUUAAGCACUAGCCUAGGUUGCUUGGGCACCUGUGAUGUCAUCAUUGGUCGCCACUCACAGGGGCGUGGGAUAAAAGGACCCCUGCCUCUUACCUCUCUCUCCUGGUCUCCUCUCUUGCUCUCUCUGCUUUUCUUUCUGUCCCUCUGUCUCUCUCUACCUCUGCCCUCAUGGCUCACUCAGGCCCUAACUCUCUUCUGCUUCUCUUCUCCCAAAUAAAUAUCUUUCAUAUCAAGUCUGUCAUAUGCGUGACGCGUUUUUAAAUAUAUGACAACAGCGUUAUUUAAUGUUUGCUUGUGUCUUUUGAGAAAGGGUCUUGCUCUGUAAACUGAGUUGCUCUGAAGGUCUAUCCUCCUGGCUCUGUCUUCUGUCAGCUGGGUCAAGGGUCCACAC